rnacentral:rRNA from 1 species
GACGAACGCUGGCGGCGUGCUUAACACAUGCAAGUCGAACGGAAAGGCCCUGCUUUUGUGGGGUGCUCGAGUGGCGAACGGGUGAGUAACACGUGAGUAACCUGCCCUUGACUUUGGGAUAACUUCAGGAAACUGGGGCUAAUACCGGAUAGGAGCUCCUGCUGCAUGGUGGGGGUUGGAAAGUUUCGGCGGUUGGGGAUGGACUCGCGGCUUAUCAGCUUGUUGGUGGGGUAGUGGCUUACCAAGGCUUUGACGGGUAGCCGGCCUGAGAGGGUGACCGGCCACAAUGGGACUGAGAGACGGCCCAGACUCCUACGGGAGACAGCAGUGGGGAAUAUUGCACAAUGGGCGGAAGCCUGAUGCAGCAACGCCGCGUGCGGGAUGACGGCCUUCGGGUUGUAAACCGCUUUCGGCUGUGACGAAGCGUGAGUGACGGUAAUGGGUAAAUAAGCACCGGCUAACUACGUG